rnacentral:rRNA from 1 species
UCAGCGGCGGAACGGGUUGAGUAACACGUUGGGUAACCUUGCCUGUAAGACUGGGAUAACUUCCGGGAAACCGGGGCUAAUACCGGAUAUUUCUUUUUCCUCGCAUGAGGAAAAGUGGAAAGGUGGCUUUUAGCUACCACUUACAGAUGGACCCGCGGCGCAUUAGCUAGUUGGUGAGGUAAUGGCUCACCAAGGCGACGAUGCGUAGCCGACCUGAGAGGGUGAUCGGCCACACUGGGACUGAGACACGGCCCAGACUCCUACGGGAGGCAGCAGUAGGGAAUCUUCCGCAAUGGACGAAAGUCUGACGGAGCAACGCCGCGUGAGUGAUGAAGGUUUUCGGAUCGUAAAGCUCUGUUGUUAGGGAAGAACAAGUGCCGUUCGAACAGGGCGGCACCUUGACGGUACCUAACCAGAAAGCCACGGCUAACUACGUGCCAGCAGCCGCGGUAAUACGUAGUGGCAAGCGUUGUCCGGAAUUAUUGGGCGUAAAGCGCGCGCAGGCGGUCUCUUAAGUCUGAUGUGAAAGCCCACGGCUCACCCGUGGAGGGUCAUUGGAAACUGGGGGACUUGAGUACAGAAGAGGAAAGU